rnacentral:rRNA from 1 species
UGGGGAAUAUUGGACAAUGGGCGCAAGCCUGAUCCAGCAAUGCCGCGUGUGUGAAGAAGGCCCUAGGGUUGUAAAGCACUUUCAGUAGGGAGGAAGGUUGAGGGGCUAAUAUCCUUUCAAUUUGACGUUACCUACAGAAGAAGCACCGGCUAACUCUGUGCCAGCAGCCGCGGUAAUACAGAGGGUGCGAGCGUUAAUCGGAAUUACUGGGCGUAAAGGGUGUGUAGGUGGUUUUGUAAGUUAGAUGUGAAAUCCCCGGGCUUAACCUGGGAACUGCGUUUAAAACUGCAGAACUAGAGUAAUGUAGAGGAUAGUGGAAUUUCCAGUGUAGCGGUGAAAUGCGUAGAUAUUGGAAGGAACACCAGUGGCGAAGGCGACUAUCUGGACAGAUACUGACACUGAGACACGAAAGCGUGGGGAGCAAACAGG